UCCUCUAUAAAUAACAAUCUUUGGGUAGCUUAGCUCCUCCACACCGCAGAUCCCCUUAGGCGUAGCUCUCGAUCCACAUCAUAAAAAAAGUAAAGGAGAAAAUGAAGGGUCUGCAGGCACUUAUAUUGGCAAUGGUAACGGUUAUGGCGAUCGCUACAACUGAUGCUCAAAGCAUUUGCAACAUGCCAGCUUCAGGUUUGAUGGCAUGCAAACCAGCAGUGACCCCUCCCAACCCUCCGCCGCCCACGUCAACUUGCUGCUCCGCCCUCUCCCACGCUGACAUGCAUUGCCUUUGCUCAUAUAAGAACUCCAAGCUGUUGCCUUCCCUUGGUAUUGACCCAAACCUUGCCAUGAAAUUGCCUAGCUUGUGCAAGCUUCCUCAUCCUGCAAAUUGUUAGUUCCUGGCUCUCCAUAUUUGAUCUCAAAUGUGAGGGAAAAUCAUGCUUAUUAUAAGCCUCUACUUCACAUUAUUGUACUGAGCUUCGGGUUUUCUUUUUCCUUUAUUUCUUUUUAUGUGUUGUGUUUCGAUUGGUAUCUUAUAGUCGUGUAAUAUCACAUACGUGUGAUUUCUCACCAAUAAUCAUAUAUUAGUAUUGUUUCCACCAUGCACUACGUUGCUUCAAUUAAUUUUUUUAAUCAAAAUAUGUUCUACAUUUUAAAUUUAAUCUCAAUAUUUUUUUAUGAAUUUAGUCUAUUUACUUUUUAGAUUUAAAAAUUUAGCUCCAAUUGUUAAUACCAUUAAAGUUUUUUUGGUUACAUUUGUUGGCAUGACAUAUUGAAAUUUAAAAAAAUAUUUAUUUGAUAACUAUAUAUAUAAAAAAAAAUGACAAUCUAAUAUCUUAAAUUUAACAAAGAAUUUUAACUGCAUUGACAAUUCUUAAAAAUUUACCUCCACAUUUUAAUUUGAAUAAGGUAUUUAGACUAACUAAUGAUAUUAAAAAAUUUGAAGUAGCAAGUUAUGUCAAAAAUUAAAGUAUAGAGAUUAAUUUUCAAAUUUAAGCUUAGUAUAGGGAUUAAAAUUGAAAAUUGACCAUUAUUAUAUAAUCUAUAAAAAGUAAAAACAAAAAAAAAAGCUAUGUAUUUAGACACAUGUACAUCAAUAUUUUAAUCAAAAUGAAGUAUUUAGAUUAACAAUGACAUUAUAAAAGUUGGGAUAACAAGUUACUUUAAAAAUUAAAGGAUAAAGAAUAAAUUUCAAAUUUAAGUAUAAUAUAAGAAUCAAAACUAAAAUUUGAUCAUUGUUAUAUAAUCUUGAAAAGAAGUAAAAGAUUGUGUAUUUGGACAUACGUAUGUCAAUAAUCUGAAUGCAAUAUUCAAACUAACAAUGAUAUUAUAAAAGUUGAAGUAUAAAAUUAUAUAAAAAUUAAAAUAUAAAAGUUAAAUUAAAAAUUUGAGCAUAUUAUAGGGACCAAAAUGAAGUUGGACCACACCGUUCAUUUAAAAUAUAUAAAAGAAGAGCUUUAAAUUCGGACUAGUGUCAAUAGGACCAAUGGCUUGAACAUUACUUUUACAUAUAUACAUAUACUAAUUUCAAUUUAUUUUAUCGAAUUAUAAUAUGUUAAUUUAAUAUUUUUAUUAAAAUAUAAUUAAAAUACGUUGUAUGAUAUUAUAUUAAUAUAAAAUUUUAAAUUUAAAUUCAAAAUAUAAAUAAAACAUAGCAUAAAAUUUAAAUUUUUAGUAUCAGUGGAAAUAAAUAUACAAUCUUUCUCCAUUUUUGUAUUUUUAUCUUUAAUUGUAUAUGAGUUAUUUAAAAUGUGAAUUUUUAUAAUAGUUUCUAAUUAAAAAUAUGAAUAUUAUAGUAUUUUUAUAAAUUUAUAAUGUCAUUGGAAUAUUUCCAUGAACCUCUUAAACAUUAUUACUAAUAAUAUCAUUUAUUAUGCAUUACCAUUUUAUAAUUAUUGAUCAUUAUAUUAAGAAAUUUACUAUCAAUACUUGUUAUAUAUUAUUUCUCUUAAUAUCUAAUGGUAAAAAAAUUAAUUAUUUUAUUCUAAAAAAAUCAAAAGUGUAAUUAAAUUUUAGAAAAAUAUUUUUAAAAAGUAUAUUAUUAUGUGAGCAUGGCAGUAGCAUGUUAAACAUUGUAACAUUUGACAGAUAUUACAUUGACAUGUCAUUGAAUCACUAGUAAUUAACAACUAUAUUAUAAUUUUUUUUAAUAUUUUUAACUUUGGUGUUUAAAUUGUUUACUGUUACAGUUUGAUGCCAAAUCGCUUCAUGAAUGGUUGACUGAUCAUUUAUGUAAUUUACAUUUUUAUUAUCAACCAUAUACUCCGUAAACUACUACUAUUAUUCAUCAUUCACAUUCGAUUUACACUUAUUAAUAUUUAUAAUUAUAAAGUUUAUUAUCAAUAGUUUUUCAUUAUAUUUUUUAUUAUUGAAAUUUGUCAUACGGUUGAUCAUAAGAAGAAAUUAUUCCCAUGUGGAUCAAAUUUUAAGUUGUUAAAUACAAAUAAUUUAAUUUUAUUUAAUCCGGAUCAAUAAAAAUAAACUCUAGUUAGGGCUAGUUUAGUAUUGUUUUUGAAAAUUACUUUGGAAAAUUUUUUUUGAGAAGUUUUGUUUAAAAUUUAGGUGUUUAAUAUUGCUAUCAAGAAAUACUUUUGAAAAAUAAAAUAUCUAUUUUAGACAUGAUAUUAUAAAGUAACAAAUAUGCAUUUAAAUAAUGUUUAAUUUAGUUAAUAUUAUGAUAUUUUAGCAAGAAUAUAAAAAAUAAUUUAUUAUAACUUAUUGUUAAUAUUUUAAUAUAUAAUAUUAAUUUUAAAUAUUUCUAAGUAAUUAAUAUUAAUUAUUUAUUAAAUUUAAUUAGAAAAUAUAAACUAUAUUUAAAUAUAAUCAUUAAGUAUUUGUAAUUAGAUAUUGACGCAAUUGUAUUAUUUUAAAAAUGAUUUUUUUUAUUUUUAAUUAAUGAUUUAAACACAUUUGUAUUAUUUUAUUUUAAAAUGUAAUUUGAAUAUAUAACUCAUAUUAGAUAUUAACAUAACAUAGAAAACAUAAACAUAACAAAUUAAAAUAUUACAUAUAUUUGGAUUAACGUUUCAAAAAGGGAUAAUAUUUAUAUACCAAAAUAUAAAUACUAAAAAUUUUACAAUAGCAUUUACAAUUUAAAGUGAAUUCUUUAAACUAGAAGCUAUAGCAUCUCUUGCUAAUUUCAUUUCAAAACCACUUGAAUUGUUUGAUUCACCAUCAUCAUCAUCAUCAUCAUCAUCAUCAUCAUCAUCAUCAUCAUUUUCUCCACCAUGCGCAUUUUCUGAAUCAAUAAUAUUCUCAUAUGCCCUGUUAAUAUUUUUGUAUUCCAUAAAAUCUGCAUCAUUUCGACUGACAUAUUUUCGGAUAAAAUUGUGUAUCGCCAUUGUAGCAACAAGGAUCAUCGUUUGCUUUUCAAAACUAUAACUUGGCAUAUCCCUUAAAAUGACCCUUUUGUUUCAAAACACCAAAAUUUCAUUCAAUCACACUAUGUAAUGAUGAAUGUGAAUGAUUGAAUAUCUCUUCCUUACCAGAUAUCAGUCUACCUGUAACAGCUCGUUUUUAGUCAAAUCGGAACAGUGAUUUCGGAACCACAAAUUUGAUGUCAAAAUAUUUAUAUUAUUAUUAUUUUAAUGUUUACAGCAUGAUUGAGUGAUUGUGUGAAAAUUUCGUUAAGAAAUUUUAUCGUUUGAAUGGUCAAUUUGAUAAAAAGGACUAAAUCGCGUAAAGUGUAAAAGUGGAGUUCCAUUAGGUAAAGGUAUUCAAGAGCUAUGGAAUAUUAAUUUAGAGGUCUUUAUGUGGUAAAUACACCAUUGACAUUGUGAGUGGACUUUUAUGGACACAUUCUAGGUGUUUUAAAUGUUUUAUAACAAAGGUUAAAAAGGUAAUUUAGUGAUUAAUAAGUUAUAUACUAAUAAAACAAGCAAAUUAAAUGUGUUUAUCUUCAUCUUGCAGCCGAAUUUUGAAGAGAAGAAAAUCUUUCAUUUAGGGUUUCAUUUGGAUAUGCCAUAUUUGUCAAUUAAGGUACGAUUUUUGUCCCGUUUUUAAUGAUUUCUAUGUUUUUGAGAUCGUUGCAGUUAGUACUAACUAGCCCAGGGACUAAUUUGCAAAAAUGUGAAAGAUUUUGAAUGUUUCCAUUGAUGAAUAAGUAGGAUUUUUGAUGAUUGAUGAUAGAUCAUGAAUAUUUGAUGUUAGUUAAACAAGUUUUGUUAAGUGAGUUUUUGGUGAAAAUGGAAAUUAAGGGUUAAAUUGAGAAAUGUUGAAAAUGUAUGGUUGAAAUGUGAAAUAAAUGAAAUUUAUGGGCUUCUAGGGUAUUAUGGUAAUUCGAAUAGCAUGGGUUAGUCUUAAAUUUCAUGAAUUUGUGAUUUUAUGAAAUAAGGACUAAAUUGUGAAAAUAUAAAAGUUUAGGGGUAAAAGUGUAAAUAUACCUUAAAGAGUGUUUUGGACUAAAUUGAAUGAAUAUAUGAUUGAAUAAGUUAAUUUUUAAUACAUUUAGAUCAAUAAAGACGGAAUAUGGACCUAGACCGAGGGAAAAUGAAAGUUAUCGAAUAAUCAAUUCGAUUCACCGUUUUAGCAUAUGAGGUAAGUUCGUACGUGAUAAACAUUGUUACAAUUAUGUUUUUAAUGCUUUAGUAUUGGAUAAAUUGUAUAUAUGAGACUACAGUCAUGUUCGACGACAAAUCGACUAUGUUUGGCACUUAGUGUGCAAUUUGAGAUAGCUUUGGCUAUAUAUGGCACUUAGUGUGUGAGACUGAGAUAGCUUUGACUAUAAAAGGCACUUAGUGUACGAGAUUAAAAUAGCUUCAGCUAUGCUUUGGCACUUAGUGUGCGAGAUAUCGAGUAAUCGACAGUAUCACGAAAAGGUAUGAGUCCGUUAUGAAUUUGUACAGGUAUGUACAUAUAAAGCAUGAAAUCCAAAUAGAAGAAGUUAUGAACUUUACAUAAACACAUGAGUAAGUAUGAGGAAGGUUAAUUGGUCACCAUGAUUUAGAUAUUAAUUAGUUCAAAUUGAUGAUUUUUGUAUUAUGAACUGCUGAGUAUAUUUAGUACGAAUUUUUUAAGCUUUAUAGCUUACCUUGUUUGUUUCUUCCCUUUUUUUUAGUGAUUUCAAAGCUAGCUUGGAUUCGGGAAUCGUUAGAGACUACGUCACACUAUCCAACCAUCUACUUGGUACUUUUGAGUUGUGUAUACAUGGUAUAUGGCAUGUAUAGGCUUUGGUCAUUUUGGGUGUCUUAGAUGGAAAUGUAUUUUUGAACCAUAAUAGGUAACUUAUGAAAGUUAUGUGGUUUGCUAUGUAUAUUGCAAUGUGAUAUGGUUAAUAUUGAAGUUUAAUACUCAAAUGCUUAUUAUGGUAUAAGGUAUUUAUUUGGUUGUGACAUGUUUAUGGUGGAUUGACUUUGGUUGAUAAAUUAGAUGAAUUAUUGUACAUAAAGUAUAUAUAUGUGAAUUAUGUCUAGUAAAGCAAGUUGAGUUGAUAGGUUUUGAAUAGGUAAAUGACAUUAGAUUGAGUAUUGAAAUAGUUGACUUGAAAAUGGUAUGAUUAUGUAUAUUGAUGAUGAUUUUGGGAUGCCUAUUGUAACACCCCUUACCCGUGGCCGACACCGGGACAGGAUACAAGGCAUUACCGGACUUAAACACAAGCAAACAUACAAAACCGGGCCAUAAAAUUUUGUCCAAAUUUAAAACUAUUCAAUCACAUGCAACUUGUCACUUAUAAGGGCCUACGAGGCCCAAAACAUACAUAGGAAGCAGUUUGUGACUAAACCGAGAACUUUCGAAACCUUUUUGACACUUAGAAAAUUUUCUUGUUUUGGAGAGUCACACGCCCGUGUGGGUAGGUCGUGUGGUCACACAAGCCCGUGUGGCUUGGGACACGCCCAUGUCCUCAGCCCGUGUAACUCUCUGUUUAUGAUGUCAUCAAUCAAAUAAGGUCACAUGACCAAGUCACACGCCCGUGUGCUUAGGCUGUGUGGCGAAUUAAAUUCCAAGAAUCAAGUGCAGAUUUCACCCGGCCUGGGCACAUGCCCAUGCCCUAAGGCUGUGUCCUUUACACGGCUGAGACACACGGCAGUGUCUUUACUUGUGUGUUUACUACUAGGCAUUCUGUUUUGCAUUAAUUAGGGUGUAGGGGACACACGGCCGGAUCACACGCCUAUUGGGCAGACCGUGUGUUACACACGACCUAGACACAUGCCCGUGCGUGUAACCGUGUGGACAAUUUCUAGGCUAUUUUCCAAGCCAUUUGCCUCCCUUAAGCACUCACACACACUUAAACCUAUUUCAUGGUAUACCACAUAGCACUUCCAUCAUGUGAAGUAUAGACAUUUUAUGUUUUUAAUAGUCAACGUAUAACAUAUUCAAGUUAGUAGGUUUACCCAAGGUAUUCCACACCAAUUUCAUGAAUAAUUAUCCUUGCUAUCCUACUUCCAAGUUAUACAUUUGUACCACAUUUAUUGCUAUACACAUUAAUCAUAUUUCAUCCACUAAACAUACAUACCAUCCAUCACACUCAUUAUCACAAACAAUCACAAGCCUUAUCAAACACAUACCUUUAGCAUAUAACCUACAUCUCAUCACACAUCCAUCAAACAACCACAACAAGCAUAAACACAUUUGCAUGCAUGCGUAAUUAAUUAGGUUUACAACCCAAAUAAUCAAUAUGAGCCAUCUCUCAUGGCCAUAUACAAAAGGAAUCACAAUACCAUCAUGAGCCAACACAUUUGGCUAAUCAAUAUGACACAUAACAAAAAGACCAAGUCCCUAUACAUUCCAUACUCAAAAUGUUGUGACUAACUGUACCCAAAUGUCCAAUUGAUUGUGUGAUCAAGUCUCCGAUGUCCUUCGAUCCCCGAGCUAGCUUAGUGAUACUAUAUGAAAAUGGAAAAAGAGAUGGGAGUAAGCAUAUAGCUUAGUAAGUUCACAUGCAAAUAAAUAGCAACAUAAUCAUUAAUAUAUAUACCAUUGACAUAACAUAAUUUACAUAUGCGUCAUCAUAAAUUCAUAGGCAUAACUUACAUAUUUUCAACCUUACCAAAAGAUCAUCAUAUAUGGGGUUCAUUCAUAAGAGUUUUUUGUACAUACCUGUACUAACUCGUAAUACAUUCUCAUAUUUCCUCAUCAAUGAUUUACUUGUCGAAUAACUCACUGAUUUACCCGUUAAACACUUGGAAUACUAUCGGAUACAUGGAAGACUUGCACAUAGUGCUUCAAACGUAGCCACAUGCUACCUCAUAUCACAAUCACAAAUUGCUCGCUCUCGAGGUAAUCACGGGCCUGCUCACACAAGCUGACAGUCAGGACGUAACUACUCGGGCUGCUCACACAAGCUGACAGGUACCAGCAACACAUGCCGGGCUACCCAGCCACCGGUAGAAUGUACAAGACUAGCACCCGGAUUCACAUAGACACAUACCACAUAUCUUAUGAGCUUAACACAAAUAGUUCCUAGUGACAUGUCACAUUGUAUCCUAAAUUAUUCCUAAGGUUCAAAUGGGAUUUUCGUGAUAUCACAUGUUCGUCGAACUCGUUCACAAUGUCAUGCUCAUAGACUAUAACAUCGCUCAUACACUUGUCAUAGUAAUUAAACAUAGAGACUUAUACAUUAAUAAAAUAUUAAAAAAUGAUAUAUCAUUGCAUUUUUUUACACAUGAGCUUACCUCGGUGCAAAAUAUGGAUAAUUAAUUCGAUUUAGUCCAAAACAUUAUUCUUUCCCCAGUCUAGGUCUGGACUCCGUUUUUCUUGAUCUAUAAUAGCAAAUUCAACUUAUUUAAUCAUCACAUUAUUCAAAUCAGUCUAAAAACUAUAUUUAGGCAAAAUUAUAGUUUUGCCCCUAAAGUUUCACAUAUUUGCAAAUUAGUCCCUAGGCUCGUAAAAUGAAAUGUGUUCAUUUUCUUUGUUACCCAAGCUUAGCCAAACUUAUAACAUACUAAUAGAAUCCCACAUUUCUCAUUAAAUCAUACAUCUUACUUCCCAUUUUACAAACUUUACAAAUAAGUUCUUUUUAGCCAUUUUCACUGGAAAUCACUUGGUAAAAGAUGUUUAUCACACAUCAAACAUUUAUAUUCCUCCAUUAAACAUCAAAACACAUGCAUGUCAUACAUGGUUCAAAUUUCAAACAUGAACCCUACUAAAAAAUAUGGCUAGAAAUAAGUAAAUCGGGUUACGAGGGUUUCAAAAAUGUAAAAAACAUUAAAAACAAGGCUAGGAUGCACUUACUAUUGAGCUUGAAAGUUGAAGAAACCCUAGCCAUGGAACCUUUGAGAUUUUUGGCCAAGGUGGGAGAAGAUGGACACAAUUUUGACUUAUUUUUCCCUUUUUAUUCUUUUAUUAACCAAAUGAUAAAAAUGCCCUUAAGGCCUUUCAUUCAAAAUUUUCCUAUUCAUGCCCAUUUUUUUCCAUAAAAAUAGAAAUUGAGAAUAUUUCUAUUUAAGGACCUCUAAUUAAUAAUCCAUGGAAAUUUCAUGCUUAAGGCUUCUAAAACUCACAUUUUGCAACUUUUGCAAUUUAGUCCUAAAUGUCAAAUUGGACACUUUAUAAAUAAAAUUUGUUCAUGAAUUUUUCACACAAGCAUGCAAUCAUAUCAUAGACCUCCUAAUAAUAAUAAAAUAAUUAUUUAUACUUCAAAUUUAUGGUUUCGAAACCACUAUUCUGACUAGGCCUAAAUCAGGAUGUUACACCUAUUGUAUGAUAAAAUGGUACCAUUUUGGUUGUUUAGGUGAGCAGAUAAAAGGGUGGAAAAUUGGCCUAUUUUUGUCCACAUUGGUAGGGACACAGGCGUGUGUCUCAGCCAUGUGCGACAUACGAUCAUGUUACACGGCCGUUCGUCCCCUGAUGUUGAAAUUAAAUUAAAGUCAGUAUGCCCUAUACGGCCUUACACAUGGGCGUGUGACUGGCCGUGUGGCACAAGUCAGUAUACCCCCUAAAUGGCACACGGCCUAGCAUAUGUUCGUGUGACUUGGCCAUGUUGCAUAAGUCAGUAUACCUUGUAGGUUUGGUACGACCUAGUACCAGCCUGGCACAUGGGCAUGUUUGGCCACUUCGUAGGGCACACGGGCUAGACACACGGGUAUGUGCUCGGCCGUGUUACCCAAUUCAGUAUACAUGCCUUGUUUUUACAUGGCUAGGACAUGAGCGUGUCUAGAGCCGUGUGAAGCACAUGGUCUGUUCACACAGGUGUAUGACCUUUGUAUGUUUGAAAUUUUUAUAAGUUUCCAAAAUUUUCGUAUGUUAUCGGUUGGGACAAUGUGAAUGUGUUGAAUGAGUUAUGUGAAUUAAUGCUUUGUGUACGAGUUAUGUAUGUUAAAUGAUGUGUAUUGAUCAGUAAUACCUUAUAACCCUAUUAUGAUGAUGAAUACAGGUGAGGGGUGUUACAUUUAUUGGUAUCUGAGAUACAGUUUAGUCGAUUCUUGGGCUAACGUAGUGUGUGUGAUAGUCUAUAUAUACAUGCCAUAUAUAAAAUGUGAUAGUGUGAUGACUCCUGACAUUUGAAAAUGUUUUUAUAUAGCAAAUGGGUCCCAAUUGAGCGAUAGCUGAUGAGGUUGAAAGUAAUGCGCCUACUCCCGUGCAAGGGACAGCACCAUCUGAUUUUAGACCCGUUACGGGUAGUCAGAGAGGAGAAGUUAAAGAAGCCUUAUUCUAAAUGAUGAACGAGUGGUUCACUCAAUAUAUUCGUACGAACCUUGCUGCUCAACAACCUCCACCCCCUUCAAAUCCCCAACCUAUACCAAUAGCUCCUCAAGGAGUCAAGCUUUUAAGAUUGAACAAGCCUCCCGUUGAUAAGAUCCGUAAACACGGGGAUAAAGAGUUCAGAGCAAAUGUUGAUGAUGACCCUGAAAUAGCAGAGUUUUGGCUUGAAAAUACAAUCAGAGUAUUUGAUGAGUUGUCGUGUACACUUGAAGAGUGUAUUAAAUAUGCUGUAUCUUUGUUGAGAGACACUGCGUAUCAAUGGUUGAAUAAAUUAAUAUUUGUGGCGCUGAGAGAGAGAGUUACCUGGGAGUUCUUUCAGAUCGAGUUCAAAAAGAAGUACAUCAGUCAAUGGUUUUUUCAUCAAAAGCAUAAAGAGUUUCUGGAACUAAGAUAAGGCCGUAUGACUGUAACUGAGUAUGAAAGAGAAUUCGUACGGUUAAGUAAAUAUGCUCGAGAGUAUGUUUCUACUAAAGAGAUUAUGUGCAAGUGGUUUGUUGAUUGGUUAAAUGAAGAUAUUAAAAUCUUGGUCGGGAUAUUAGAUUUGAAAGAGUUUCUUGUGUUAGUUGAAAGGGAUUGUAAAGCCGAAGACUUUAACCGAGAAAAGAAAAAGGCUGAUUCAGAGGUAAGAGAUUCGAGAAAGAGAUUGAUGAGUAAACCUUAUCAUUUCUCGUCGAAGAAAUCCAGAGACUAUUUUAACUAAUCUACCACUUCAGUGGGAUAUCAGAAUAGAGAUCACGGAAAGAAAUACACCAGCCCUAAAGCUCAAGCCACAUCGAUAUCGAGUGUUGGAAACGUGAAAGAUGUUAAACCCAAGUGUCAACAGUGUGGAAGACAGCAUUUUAGAGAUUGAUGAGUGAAAAAUAAUAAUAGAGCUUGUUACAAUUAUGGUUCAUGAGAUCACUUUAUCAGAGAUUGUCUUGAGUUAAAUGAAAAAAAAUCUCAGAAUGCAAGAUCGAGUAAUACGACUACGAGAGAGAGACCACCGAGGAAUGCGGGAAAUGUAUCCAGUGGUAGAGGGAUGGCUAGGGACUCUGCUAUGAGAUUCGAGGCCAGAGCACCUGCUAGAGCCUACGUUAUUCGCGCUCGCGAAGAAGCAUCAUCCCCAGAUGUUAUUACUGGUACAUUCUCUCUUUACGAUAUUAAUUUGAUUGCUUUAAUUGAUCCUGGAUCGACACACUCGUAUAUAUGUAUGAAUUUGGCGUUUAAUAAGAGUUUGCCUGUUCAGUCUACUAAAUUUUUGAUUAAAGUAUCAAACCUUUAGGCAAGUAUGUUUUAGUUGAUAAAGUUUGCAAGAACUGUCCUUUAAUGACUUAGGGUUACUGUUUUUCGGCUGAUUUGAUGCUUUUGCCAUUUGAUGAGUUUGAUGUGAUUCUGGGAAUAGAUUGGUUGACUUUGCAUGAUGCUGUGGUGAACUAUAGAUGAAAGAUUAUAUAAUUGAAGUAUCAGAAUAAUGAAAUUCUUCAAAUUGAAUCAAAUGAAUCGAAUGAAUUGCCUGUUGUGAUUUCGUCUAUGUCAGCCUAGAGAUGUGUGAGAAAGGGUUGUCAAGCUUAUCUUGCUUAUGUCUUGGAUACAAAAGUAUCUGAAUCAAAGAUUGAAUCAGUGCCAGUUGUGCGUGAAUAUCUGGUUAAAGCAUAAUGAACAAUGAAAGAUAAGAAGAAGAAAAGAAACUCACCGGUGGAGGAAUUAAAUGUAACACCACAUACCCGUAUCCUACGCCGGGAUGGAGUACGAGGCGUUACCUAACUUAAACUCGUGCUUACGACCAAUUCUGAAUCUCCAAGACUUGAAAAAAUUUAAAACUUUCUCAAGUUUAUCAACAUGUCCUUAAUAUGGGCAUACGAGGCCCAAAACACACAUCGGAAAUCAUUUGAAACCAACUCGGGUUCUUUAGUCAACUUUAGAAAAAUGACACUUGACAUAGGGGCACACGCCCGUGUGAAAAGGGCAACACGCCCGUGUGACCAAUUUGACAUGGUCGUGCUAUUGGCCCGUAUAGCUGACACGGCCUAGGCAAUACAAGGAUACGCCUGUGUUCGACACCAGUGUGGAAUUAAUUCCAAAUUCAUACCUACAAGGGUUUUCACACGGCCUAGCACACACCCGUGUCCCUGGCCCGUGUCCUUCACACGAUCAUGACACGCUUGUGUCCUAGCCCGUGUACAAGAACCUGGACAUUCUGUUUCUGACGUCAGUAUUUCUUAAGGGUCACAUGACCAAGGCACAUGCCCGUGUGCUAGGUCGUGCCCUUCACAUGGCUGAGACACACGGCCGUGUCUUUGCCCGUGUGUUUACUAUCAUGCAUACUGACUUACAAAAUUUACAUGCAUGGGACACACGGCCUAACAACACGCCUAUGGGGUUGGCCGUGUGUCACACACGGCCUAGACACACACCCGUGUAUCUAUUCGUGUGGACAAAAUAAGGCUAUUUACCAGGCCUCUUCCAACCUUACUUACAUAACCUGUAUAAGAUCACUCUAUACCAAUACGAGGGCACAUCAUAUGGUCAAAUCAACCACAAUAUACAACAUUUCAAUUGUGCAAAUUUACUCAUCUAUAAAAAGCAACAUCUACUAUACAAAGUCAAAAUGAAUAUUGACCAUUACCCAUGGCCUUAUACAAAAUGAAAGGAUUUAACCCAAGCCUCACAUUUGGCUAAUUUCUCAAGGACAUAAAACAAUAAAGUCUAAGCCAUAUACAUGCUAUACUAAAAAACAAGAAGUCUAACUAUACCGAGUGCCUUAGAUGAUAGUUUGAUCGUAGCCUUCGACGUCCAUUGAAUCCUCGAGCUAUUUAAGUACCACUAUAAGAAAAUGGGAAAAGAGGGAGUAAGCAUAAAGCUUAGUAAGUUGCACAUAAAUAAAUAUACAACAACAAUUUUACCAUUCUUCAACAUGCGCAUCACAAAAAAAUAGGCAUAAGCACAACUUACUAAUCACUAUCCAUAUAAAUCUCAUAGCAUAUAUCAAGCUCAUAUCUCAUGCAUGUCAAUUAAGUACCUGUACCACUCACAAUACGGUUAUACCUUACUUGUUAACUUAAACUGCAUCUCUUACCGUUGAACCGUUCAGAACUUUACCGGAUAUUCGAAAAGCCUCAAACAUGAGGUAGGGUGCUGAUGCCAUAUCCCAGAUAUGGUCUUACACUGACUAUCAUCUCGUAGCCGAUACAUGUUCUAGACAUGUCUUACACUGACUUACGUCUAGAGGCCGAUGCUUGUCCCGGACAUGUGUUACACUAGUACUCGUAUCGAUGCCGAUGCCAUGUCUCAGACAUGGUCUUACAUAGGCUCUCAUAAAGUGGCCGAUGCAUGUCCCAGACACAUCUUACACUAGCCCACAAUAACCCAUAUGUCAUGGCAUGGAUAACGAGAACUCUACUAUUUCUAUUAUCAUCAUACUUUCUCAAUUCCACAAUCAAGCAAGUCAUGCUAUAUUAAUUCAAAUACAAAUCAACACACACAUUAGCAAUGUAGUUGUAUUAUUUACAAACAACUUACCUCGGUUACAAAAUAUAGUGUCAAGUCGGUCUAAUCAAUUUGCUUAGCUUUCUCCCGGUCUAAGUUUGGAGUUUGAAUUUCUUGAUAUAUAAUAACAAAAAGUCACAAAUUUAAUCAUUCUAUCAAUCUAGGCACUCAAUAAUCUAUACUUGGGCAAAAUAACUAUUUUACCCCUAGACUUUUACGAAAUGACCAUUUUGCCCCUAGGUUCGAAAAUCAAUUUUUAUCAAAUUUCCUCCUAUCAAAAGCCUAGCCGAACUCUUAAUACUCUUAUAGAAAUCCAAAAUUUCCACUAUCUCACCCAUUUAUCAACAAAUUUCCAACUUAUGCCAAAUAGUCCAUAUUAAGGUUUUCAUGAAGAAACCCUUCACAAAAGUUGUUUAUUACACAUCUAAUACUCAUAUUCUUCCACAAAAUUUCAGAAAACUACACAUAUGUUUUCAUUGCAAAACCCUAAACUCUCCACCAUUUUGCAAGAUAGUCCCCUCAUUUGAAAGUUCAAGCUUCAAGGGGUCCAAAAAUGUAAAAAUCAUCAACAAAAAGUAUGUAAAUCACUUACUUGUAAGAGGAAUAAGUUGCUGAAAUUUUGAAGUUCAAAACCCCAAAAAAUGGCUGAAUUUGUGUAACAUAAGUAGGUGAUUAUUAAAUGUCCAGGGCGCCCCUUUCAGAACCCUAUUCAUAUCCAUAACAUGAUAAAAUUGGAGCAAGAAACGCUUUUCUCCCAAAUCAUGAAUUUGAACACCCCGAACGGGAUGCCAAAGAUUUUCUAUAGUACUUUUCAUAGCUGGAAAGUGAAUGAUACUAGCUGUUAAGAAACAACCCACUAACCUGAAGAUUUCCUCCUCUCCAUCUGAAAUCAACUCAUCUUGAAUUUGUAAGACUGCCUCCUCAUCUUUAUUAAGUGUUAACCCCGCUAACCCAGUUUCCAUUGAUUGUAGACAAGGCAAUCAAGCCAAAGUUCCAGGUGAUGAUGUAAAAUCACUAGAAAGUGAAGCAACCGCCGUCUAUCGAACAAUCAAACAAGAAAACAAAAGACAAAAGAAAAACCUAGAAACUUGCUAGAGCGACAGACAUCUCUCGUGCUAGGGUAGUAGACUUAUUUUAUAAUCAAACUAAUUUAAUUAUACUGACAAUGAUUUUAUUAAAUUCUUAAAAAAAUAAAAACAAACAAACUACGAUAUAAUAGUAAUUUUUCACAUAAUAAUUAAUAUAAGGCCAAAGGAUCUAAGUUCAUGAUUAAAAACCCAAAAUAAUUCAUCGAGUCCUUACAAAAACAAAAUUUCACUCAAUUGAUCUUUUAUAGAAAAAAAAUAAUCUAUGUGUUAAUGAUUUUCAUUGUUUGAUUAAUUUGACUAUUGACAAAAACUAACAUGUGAUAUAUCAUGUUGAAAAUUUAUUAAUAUGACAUACCACGUCAUUAUCAUAUAUUUAAAAAUAAAAAUCUUAAAAGAUUAUUUAAAAAUGUUUAAAUAUUUACAGACAAAAUGAACUUGAAUAAAUAAUUUUGCCAAACUACAAAUAUCUUAAAAAUUAUUUAAAAAUUUAUAAAAAUAUGAAAAUUAGUAAAAAAAUAUAAAUAAUUAUUAAAAAAUUACUAAAAAUACAUGUUUAGACUAAACCCAUAAAAAUGAUUGUCCAUGUUCAUUCAAUAAGUAUGUUUUUGAAUAUUAUAAAUAUUAUUUAAAAUUAUAAAAUAAUUAUUAAAAAUCUAAUAAUAUAUAAACUAAAAUUUAAGAUUUAGUCUUAUUUUUUAUUUUAUUUUAUUUUAUUUUUUGUAAAAACUUAUCAUCAAUGAAGCAAAUUGUUAUAAAGUUAGUAAGCGAAUAUUAUAUAGAAGCUGUUAUAAAAUAUAUAAACAUAAAGUAAAAAAUCAAGAGAAUGAGAGUGCGAAGAGAGAGUGUAUUUUAUUGAUCAAUCGGAUUAUUUAAAAUGCUUCUCCAAAGUCUCUAUUUAUAGGUAUAAGAAGUACAAAUGAAGUAGAGAUAUACUUCUAAUGACUAUUACAAUUUAAAGUAUACCAAAACUUAUCUUGAUCUUGAUGGACAUCCACUUAAUAAGAUAUUCAUAAUACUCUCCCUUGGAUAUCUAUUGGUAAAUAAUGUGUCUCGUCAAAACCUUACUAAGAUAAAAAUCCUGUGGGAAAAAAAAUUCUAGUGAAACUUUAUCAGGAAAACCCAAUGGGACAAAACCUCGGUUAAGGGAAAAAAAGUACAAUCCAUAUUUACUCCCCAUCACGAAAACAUCACAUACUUUCUCAUAUUCUACAUAUUCAAUCUUGAAUACUAAUUUUUCAAAUGACUAUUUGAAUGUAUUUCCUAAGCAUUUAUAUAACCAUUCUUUUGAAAGUCAUGAGUGAGGGAAAAUUUUGAAGAAAUAUAUUUUAAUCUCUUUAGAAGUUUUAACAAUAAUCAUAGCAAACUUUAAUGAUGAUUCUUUUAUAAAAACACAAAUAGGUAUUUUGGAUCAUUUUAUAAUCCUCCUUCAACUAUUAUUCACUAAGUCAAAUUAUUUCAAUUCAUAUAAAUGAACAAUUUCCUGAGAAUUUCAAUAUACUUCUAGCAUUCUAAAUCCUUCAAGGAUUUUAAUAUAAACUUUAUUAUAUAGUGAUUCAUAAAAGGUUGUAACAAUAACCAUUAGAUGCAAGAAAUCUUUUAUGAACUGUCAAUUUAAUAAUAUAUCUAAAGGUUAUUGCAUCCACCACAAAAAAAUAUUAUAUCUUUUCAGGAUUAAUGCCAAGACUUAGCGAAAAACUUCAUAUUUUUUUCUGCUUUUGCAAAAUAACUUCAUUUGUACCCUCACUGGCUUUUUACCUUUAGAUAUUUGGACUAUUGGUCCAAAAACUCUACGAAUUUAAUUGUAUUUGAGUUAUGUCUUUCUAUUUUGACCAAUCUAUUCCAUAUCUAUAUUUCUCAAUAGAUUUAUUCAAUAUCCUCCUUUUAUUUCAUUAUUUCAACAAUAAUAUUGCAUGCAAAACAAUUGUCGGCCACUUUUAUUAUCGGUUCCAUAUUUUCUCGAAUUAACAUAACUUAUCGAGAUAUCUUAUUUUCACGAUUUUAAUCUUCAAUUUUAGUACCUGAAUCUCUUCUAGAGUUUUACUUAUUAGUUAUGUCUUGGGUCUCUUCUGGAGCACCCGUCUUCACUAUGUGACUAUCUAGAUUUAUUAUUUCUUUUAUGAGAAUUUUCAUAUUUGGAACUUGUAAUGAGUUAUCCUUGUUGAACUUCUAGUUCAAAUGACUCCCCCCUAACUCAUUACAAGUUAUUAUUUCUCUUCCCCUAAUGUCGGAAAAACUAUCGAAUCAAAAUAGUAAUCACAAAUCAUGUCAUAAUUGAAUCUCCAAUACAUUAAAAACAUAUAAUAAUACAAGGAGACUCAUAAUUAAUGUAUAUUUCCAACUUUCUUUGAGAAUUCACUCAUUUUUGUUGUGAUGGACCAAUUGAAACAUAUAUGCACAUACAAAAAUUCAAAGAUGAGAAAUAUUUAGUUCUUGACCCAAAGUCAAUUGUAAUGGGGAGUAUUUAUAACUUAUUAGUUUGAUGCGUACAACAUACAAAUCAGCAUAAUCUCAUGUUGAAAUAAGAAGUUCAGUUAUCAUAAGUAAUGUUUUAGACAUUAACUAGAUGCGUUCAAUCAAUAAUUUCUCUAAACCAUUAUGUGCAUCAAUAACAAACUUUUAUAAAAAACAUUCAAACUCAAUCAAUAAAAGAGUGAGAUAUAAACUCAUCAGUAUUAGCAAGAUGAGUUGUCUUAAUUGCAUGAUAUGAAAUUAAUUAUUUAAAUAAGCAAUCUUACAAGCGACAGGUUGCAAGUUGAUAACACAUGCGAUUAUUUUGUAGAUGCAUCUACCAAAAUCAUAUAAUAUCAAAACCAUCCACAUGGUGGAUGAAUGGGCCCAUAUUCAUUUCAGAAAUGCAAGACAUUAAAUUUCAAAUUUAGCUAGUGAGUUUCUAAUAAGCAAUUUUCAUUAAGAACAAGCAAUAAAUGAUAAUUCUUUAAAUUAAAGAAUCUUCUGGUUCUUUCAUGAAUGCCCAUAUGAAUUCUCAAUUAAUUUUCGCAUCAUAUAUGAUUCAGGAUGGUCUAACUAGUCACGCCAAGUAGUAAAUGCAUUUGUAUCAGUAAACUUUUGGUUUACUUUAACAUGCAUUUCAAUUGUACUAAUAAUGUCAAUAUAAAUUGUGACAAAUUGAUAAUCUUACUGUCAUUCCUUUUACUUUGUAUCCACAUAUAAGUAUCAUUUGUAUCAGUAAACUUUUGGUUUACUUUAACAUGCAUUUCAAUUGUACUAAUAAUGUCAAUUUAAAUUGUGACAAAUUGAUAAUCUUACUGUCAUUCCUUUUACUUUGUAUCCACAUAUAAGUAUUAUUGUGACAUUUACUACUGGAAAUGUCUAAAGCAAUAUGAAGUCUAUAAUGUCACUAAGUCAACAAAAUAAAUAUAAAUUCCAAACAAUUAUAUGCAAUAUUCGCUUCAAGGAAUUUGCCAAAAUCUUUUUUCAUGCGCUGAGUCUUGAUGAUUUUAUCAAGAAGUAAGCAAAUUAAAUUUUAGUAGUAGACUUUGAAUACAAUCAAAAUCUGUUAAUAUCAAAUUUUGAGAGUGAAUCUUAUUUUCCAAGUGUACAACAGGUACAUAACCAAUGACUUUUCAUACCUUUUGCAAGUUCUCGUCAGUAAUAUUUUUCCACUUAAUUUUAAUUGAGAACUUAUUUUGAAUACUGUAGAGUUAUACUCAUAGUUUUUUUUAAAAAAAAAAACUUACAAAUUCAGGUGCAUCCAACCAUAACAAGUUUUAGAUAGAAUUACCAUAUUCUAUUGCUCAUAAUUAGAUCUUUCUUAGUCAAAUAUUUUGCUUUCAACCAUUUAAUGAGAAUGAUGACAAAAGAAGACCACAAAGAUAGUCAAAGUCAAUUCAAUUUAAUAACAAGAGUAAUCAAUAAAUCAAUUCUCUUUUGAUUCAUAUGAAAUAUAAUCUUUUCCUCAUUCACAACCUCAAUAUGAGAUCCAUUAUGAAUAUCUUUUAAAACCAAUGGAUUAACCAUCACAAGAUAUUAAUAUAUUAGCUCCUUUGGAACUUUUGACUAAUUUUGCACUACCACAUAUUGGAAUAAUAUUGAUUUUUAUUUUCUUUUAUGCUUGCAUUCACUUCAGGGAAUGCAAUAGAUUUACUAGGAUAAACUUAUAAGCGUCCUAAUAGAUUUUUUAUUUCAUAACCACGACCUGCGUGGAUUUCAAAUCAAAAUCCAUCUAUUUAUAUUGUCAUGAUUAGUCUCCAAUUAUAAAAAAUAUGAUCUAAUAAAUAAAUCAUAGUAAAAUAUACUUGAAGAUCUUUCACAUGAUCGUCAUCACCUUAGCUAUAAUCACGAGCACUAUUGUAAGUAGUAAAACAACUUUGUUUUCAUAAUAACAUUUAUAAUCUAAUAGUAAAAAUCAUUUAAUAAACAAUCAAAAUUUUCGUGUACGAUGCUUGAAAGUUAUCCGAUACACAUUGUACCAAAUUUCAAUACCACAUAUAUGUUAUAAAAUCUUAUGAAGCUUCUAAUCAAAUAUUUAUAAAAUCAAUUAAAAGAUAUAAUACAAUCAUUCAACAUUAGCAAGUUAAUAAGACUCAAUAGAUCCUAUCAAAUUUCCCUUUAAUCAAUUAUGGUAGAUUAAUAACACUUUCCACCAUAAUUUUAAUCAAAUUACAAGAAUAUUUAAUAACAAGAAUUUAAUAAUGAAAUCUUUAAACAUCUAAAUAUUAUACAUAUUAUAAUUUAAUAAAAGAAUCUUAGUUUAAAAGAAACCUUAAAGUAAUAAUAUUUUCCCAUAAAAUAAUUUUACCAAAAAAAUCAAUCAAUAAAGGAGAAAAACAUAUCACGUAAGGAUUAUAUAAACUUCUUUGUACAAAAGGGCAUAAAAAAUUUAGAUAUUUAUGUGUACUUGAGUUGGUAAAGGCUCUAAUGAUUAUCUAUAGUGCGCAGACCUCAAUUGAAAUAGCAGUAGCUCUAGGAAGAAAUCGACAAUAGUAAAAUUUGGGAUAAUUUAGUGACUUAUGGAGAAAAAUAAUUAAAAGAGAAUCAUGCUGAUAACACAUUAUAAAAUAAAUAGAUAGAGAGUAAAAAACAAAGAGAAUGAGAGAGCAAAGAGAGAGUGUACUUUAUUGAUCAAUCGAAAUAUUUACAAUGCUUCUCCAAAGUCUCUAUUAAUAGAUAAAAAAAGUAUAAAUGAAGUAGAGAUCUACUUCUAAUCACUAUUAAAAUUUAAAAUACAUCAACACUUAUCUUGAUCAUGAUAAGCAUUCACUUAAUAAGAUAUUCAUAACAGAAGCAAAUUAUUAUUAAAUUUUUUCAAAUAUAAAUAUUAAAUCUCAAGUAUAUGACUUAUAAAUUUAUGAGGGCACCAUAUUUUCUUGGAAAUAGCUUCAAGGGGUUUUAUCCGAAAUUCGUAAAAACAAAUUAAGAUUUCAAACGUUAGAUUUAGGGCUAUGGUGACAGUACUUUUAAAUUAUACUUUUCAAUAUUUUUUUAAAUUUAAAUUUUUAAUAAAUUUUUUAUAUAUUUUUACCAUUUUAAUAUUAUUUUUACAAUAUUUGAAACAUGGACAAAUGGUUAUAAUAAGCCUAGAUAAUUAUUUGCCGAAUCCAUUUUGGACGUGAAUUCUUAGGAAUUCUUUUUAAUAUUUUAAUAUAUAUAUUUUUUAUAAAUCUUAAAUUUUUAGAUUUUUAAUAAUUAUUUACAAUUAUUUAUAUAUAUUUACCUUUAAAAUAAUUUUUAUAAUAUUUGAAAUUUAAAUCUAAAAUUAAUAUGGAUAAAUGAUCAUACAAAUUUAUUCUUGAUGUCAAUGUUUUUGUUUUUCUAUUAUUUUUAGAAUGUUUUUAUUUAAAAAAAAUAUGUUGAACAUCGACAUCGUAUCCAUGUGAUAUAUCACAUUAACAUCUGGCCUAUAUAACAUGUUACUUGUUAAUUUUCAUCAAUUAUGUAAAUAUCUAGUAACGUUGAAAUCAGUCGACAACAAAAACCUAAAGGGCUAAUUAUUUUUUCACGGAUACAAUCGGAUGAGUUGAUCUUUUUAAUUUUUUUUACUAGUGUCUUUUUAAACCCUUAUACCUUAAUAUAAUUAGGUAGUAACUUAAGCACACCAUUUCAAUAAUACAUAUCACAGUGUUUUCUAACUCAGUUAUGGACGUAUCCUUCUUGAAAACAACACUUGUCCUCUAGGAUUGAGAGCAAAACGUGACGAUAACCGACAAGAAGAAAGCAUUUGAAGACUACUAUGAUGCCAUGGUAGAGAUUGAAGCUAUCAACAAAAAGAGGCUCAGAGCUUCCAAGUUGAGGUACAAGAAACCUUGAAGCUGCAUCGAACAUACCUUUUACUAACUUGUCGUCCCUUACAGGGCUACCUAAUUCAUUAUAUUCAUCUACGCAUCACAAGACUACUCAAAAUAUGACCAACAAUAUUGGAGCACUUUGUACUAACUCGCCCUUUUCUUUCCACAAUUUCUACAAUAAUCCUUUGAGAUUGACUGAAAGGAUAGAAUCCUUUUCACAAUAAAUACAUGGACUGAAAGCUUUCUUAAAAAGAGUGGAAUUUCUUUGCAACUAAAUAAAUUGCUUGUUGUUGUCUCAUAACUUGUUGCUAAAGUAGAUGGGUAAAUGAGAUAUUUGUGAAUGCAAGUUAUUAAAGUUCAAUUUGAAAAAUAAUCGAAUUCGAUUUAAUAAUUAUCAAAUCAAGUUCAAGCUAUUGGCAGAGUCGAAUUUGAGAACCACAAUACUUGAUUUGAACAACUUGUGAGGCUAAUUUAAGGUUUUGUUUUAAUAUAUAUUAUAUUAUGAAAUUAUAUUUUUGCCCUUAUUAUAUAGAAAGAAUUUACGAAUAAGCUCAAGCUUGAAUAUGAACGAGCUUAAUCAUGCUCAAGUAUGAAAAUUGAUUAAUGAGCUUAGUCGAGCUCGAGUAGUUCGAUUAUGCUUGAGUCGAGCUUCAACUUGAGUUACCACAUUCAUAUUUAGCUCAGCUCGAUUACAUUCCUAACUACAACAUUUUUUUUUUCGGAUUUGAGUAGUUUAAACAUAAUUUGAUUUGAUCUAAUCUUCAGGUUUUGUUUCUUUACAUGGAUCAAUCUUCAAUGAUGGGUCAAUACAUGUCCAAAGUAUUGGCAAGAUUUAUGACCUAACUGUUUUGUCUCAAAAGAUUUUAAAUAAGACAAGUUAUGAAGAUUACACAAUAAUAAAUAUAGUUGUAACUACUAGUGGCACUGUUUUCAUAACUAUCUCAACAAUUUAGGUGAUUUGAAUAUUAUUUGCAUUUACAAUAAAGGUCGAAAAUGGAUCUGUGGUCACAAGUAGGAUGUUUCAAGUGAUGAGAUACGUUGAUAAUGGAAUUGGAUUAGAACAUCCAAAAGAAAAGCUUCUUUGAUUUGCCACGAGUUCACAUCCCGUGAGACUACAGUUUGGUUGAACAAUAAUCUCAAAACCCGACAGGACCCAAAGCAUAUUAGGGGUUCACGGACUACUCUACACCAAACUUUUCUCCAUUCAUUCCUCUAUAAAUAACAAUCUUUGGGUAGCUUAGCUCCGCCACACCGCAGAUCCCCAUAGGCGUAGCUCUCGAUCCACAUCAUUAAAAAAGUAAUGGAGAAAAUGAAGGGUCUGCAGGCACUUAUAUUGGCAAUGGUAAUGGUUAUGGCGAUCGCUACAACUGAUGCUCAAAGCAUUUGCAACAUGCCAGCUUCAGGUUUGAUGGCAUGCAAACCAGCAGUGACCCCUCCCAACCCUCCGCCGCCCACGUCAACUUGCUGCUCCGCCCUCUCCCACGCUGACAUGCGUUGCCUUUGCUCAUAUAAGAACUCCAAGCUGUUGCCU
rnacentral:lncRNA from 1 species